AGCGGCGGACGGGUGAGUAACACGUGAGUAACAUGCCUUCGAGCGGGGGACAGCCAUCCGAAAGGAUGGUUAAUACCGCAUGAGACCACAGGACCUUCAGGGUCCAGGGGUCAAAGGCCUUCGGGUCGCUCGAAGAUUGGCUCGCGGCUCAUUAGGUAGCUGGUGAGGUAACGGCUCACCAGGCCGAAGAUGAGUAGCUGGUCUGAGAGGACGAUCAGCCACACUGGGACUGAGACACGGCCCAGACUCCUACGGGAGGCAGCAGUGGGGAAUCUUGCGCAAUGGGUGAAAGCCUGACGCAGCGAUGCCGCGUGUGUGACGAAGGCCUUCGGGUCGUAAAGCACUGUCAGGCGGGAAGAA
rnacentral:rRNA from 1 species